AUGGUCUUAUUGAUAAAAGCUACUGGUUUGCAGCAAUUACUAAGAGUAAAGAUGAUGCAAAGAGCCUGUUCCCCAAACUGUGUGACGUUGAGGAGUCCAGCCUGGCAGGUGGUGAUGUGUCUUGCACUACCUCGCAUGACAACAGCUAAGGAGACCAACCAUUCUCUUCAUUGUACAGCUUUACAAUAUACAACAUGAAUUUUCUCAGCGUGAAUACGUGACAUAUUAGUCCAGUCAAAGAUAUUAUCAUCCUCAUCAUCAACAGAUAAUUUUCCAUUUUUUUUUGUGGGGGAGAUGGCUUUCAAGAUGUUUAUUCUUUUGUAAUUGACUAAAUUCUAUGAUAAAAGGAGCAAGAUGACAUCGUGGUCACCUGGAGUCACUUUGCUUAGUCUCAGCAGAGUGUGAAGACAGUCCGACACACUGUUGUAACGGAAAUGCUUUGAAGAUUAUGAUUAAUAGAUGUGACUGAUGGGAGGUACAGGAGGAAUGUCUUUGGGCAAUAAAGAUGCUCAUAAAAUA